rnacentral:rRNA from 1 species
UACGGGGGGAGCAAGCGUUGUCCGGAAUUAUUGGGCGUAAAGAGCUCGUAGGCGGUGUGUCGCGUCGGCCGUGAAAACCUGCAGCUUAACUGUGGGCUUGCGGUCGAUACGGGCAUCACUGGAGUUCGGCAGGGGAGACUGGAGUUCCUGGUGUAGCGGUGAAAUGCGCAGAUAUCAGGAGGAACACCGAUGGCGAAGGCAGGUCUCUGGGCCACUACUGACGCUGAGAAGCGAAAGCAUGGGGAGCGAACAGG